AUACGUAGGGGGCGAGCGUUGUCCGGAAUGAUUGGGCGUAAAGGGCGCGUAGGCGGCCUGUUAAGUCUGGAGUGAAAGUCCUGUUUUCCAGAUGGGAAUUGCUUUGGAUACUGAUGGGCUUGAGUGCAGGAGAGGUUAUCGGAAUUCCCGGUGUAGCGGUGAAAUGCGUAGAGAUCGGGAGGAACACCAGUGGCGAAGGCGGGUAACUGGACUGCAACUGACGCUGAGGCGCGAAAGUGUGGGGAGCAAACAGGAUUAGAUACCCUGGUAGUCCACACUGUAAACGAUGAAUGCUAGGUGUAAGAGGUAUCGACCCCUUUUGUGCCGGAGUUAACACAAUAAGCAUUCCGCCUGGGGAGUACAGCCGCAAGGUUGAAACUCAAAUGAAUUGGCGGGG
rnacentral:rRNA from 1 species